GACGAACGCUGGCGGCGUGCUUAACACAUGCAAGUCGUACGGUAAGGCCCUUUCGGGGGUACACGAGUGGCGAACGGGUGAGUAACACGUGAGUAACCUGCCCACAACUUUGGGAUAACGCUAGGAAACUGGUGCUAAUACUGGAUAUGUGCUCCUGCUGCAUGGUGGGGGUUGGAAAGCUCCGGCGGUUGUGGAUGGACUCGCGGCCUAUCAGCUUGUUGGUGGGGUAGUGGCCUACCAAGGCGGCGACGGGUAGCCGGCCUGAAAGGGUGACCGGCCACAUUGGGACUGAGAUACGGCCCAGACUCCUACGGGAGGCAGCAGUGGGGAAUAUUGCACAAUGGGCGCAAGCCUGAUGCAGCAACGCCGCGUGCGGGAUGACGGCCUUCGGGUUGUAAACCGCUUUCAGCAGGGACGAAGCUUUUUGUGACGGUACCUGCAGAAGAAGCACCGGCUAACUACGUG
rnacentral:rRNA from 1 species